AGGCGAUCUGCAGCCACCGCUGCCUAGCUUUUCCAACCAAACAGACCGGCUAUUGGAAUAUGGUUUCGGAACGUUUUAUUUUAUUUACGGCCCCGAGAAAACAUCCGGCAGGAAAUCAAAUUUGACGAGAGGCACUUGUGGAACGAACAGCAGCAUUUGUCGAUCGUCACGGUUUGCGGAAAUCCGAUCAAGGAGUUGUUCCGAAUGUGAGACGGAGAAAUAGCCAGCGUCCAACCGUUAUUCGAUUGUUCCAUAACGCCAGCCCUCAUAAUCAACACCAGAACACCAACCGUGGGUGGAACAGUGAUAUUGGAUGCGAAGUGAUGUGGAGUAGAGAAAAAAUGAAAUCUAAUGGAAGAAUUGGAAAUCUAGUAGUGACGUGUGUCUUGCAGCUACGAAUACAGGCCCUGUUGAAGCUGUGUUGGGACCAGCUGGAGUGAGGAGGUAGUUUGCAGAUGAAGAUUAAAUUCGCGAAUUUUUAAAUAAUAAAAUAGUGAGAAUGUAUUGCGCAUUUCCCACCCCACUGGACCCCUUUCGCAGUUAGUAUAAGUGCGGGAUCGUGAAUAAAACUGCGAUUUUGCAUCGAAUCGUGUCGGUGUCUUCUGCGCACUUAUGCAUUACAAAGUG